GACGAACCACACAAACGUUAUUCGGAAUUACUGGGCUUAAAGGGUGCGUAGGCUGUGCGGAAAGUUGGGUGUGAAAUCCCCCGGCUCAACCGGGGAAUUGCGCCCAAAACUACCGUGCUUGAGGAAGACAGAGGUGAGCGGAACUUCGGGUGGAGCGGUGAAAUGCGUUGAUAUCCGAAGGAACACCGGUGGCGAAAGCGGCUCACUGGGUCUUUUCUGACGCUGAUGCACGAAAGCUAGGGGAGCAAACGGG
rnacentral:rRNA from 2 species